rnacentral:lncRNA from 10 species
UCCAGGAUGUCACCUUCUCAGCCGACCACCUAUGCAUAAAGGCUCAAAAUCCCCAUAUGCCCCACAGAUGGGAAAAAACAGGAAAUCGGAAGCUGCCCAUGGGAAGGACGAGGACCAAUAACAAAUGGCUACCCAAAAGACACAUUCCCCCCUUUGGAGAGAAGGAAAUGUGUGUAUUGUGGAAUUCCAAAAAUCUCUGCCUGAGAGAUGUAUGGGAGCCGAGGGAACUAGCAGAGAGAGUACAGGAAAAAGCUGGCCAAAGGCAUCAUCUGGGCACAGCAAAGAAGGCACAGAGGGCACCUGAGGUCUUCGUCAGCUAAGCAUCCUUUGCCUCUUCCUUUGGUAACAGAACCUCUCUUUCUUGGAGGAACCAAAUCCAUGUGAUUGAACUGAAAGUGACCACUUCUGCCAAGGGGAUAGGAACUGCAUUCUCCUAGCCAAAGUGAUUAUUCAGGGAGGGGCAGGACCCAGUGAGCCACGCCAAUGAAAGGCAACCCCAGAACUCAUCAAAGAAAGCCUUAAAGUGACUUGGCCAUAUUUGCCACCCUGCAGGUACAGGCUGCCUGAGAAUGAAGCCACAGAGAAGUAAGCAGUGUAGAGAAAAAGAAUGCUGGCUGGGUGCAGUGGCUCAUACCUGUAAUCCCAACAUUUUGGGAGGCUGAGGCGGACAGACCACUUGAGGUCAGAAGUUCGACACCAGCCUGGCCAACGCGGUGAAACCCCGUCUCCACUAAAAAUUCAAAAAUUAGCCGGGCACCUGUAGUCCCAGCCACUCGGGAGGCUGAGGCACGAGAAUUGCUCGAACCCGGGAGGCGGAGGUUUCAGUGAGCCGAGAUCGCACCACUGCACUCCAGCCUGGACGACAGAGCAAGACUCUGUCUCAAAAAAAAAAAAAAAAAGAGAGACAGAGGGAGAAAAACAAUGUUUCAUGGGGAGGAAGAGUGAGAAAUGAUGAAGAAUUUGAUGGAGCUCCUGGAUCCAACGUGCGUAAAGCAGAAGCAUCCGUUAUCUUCCAGUUAACUGAGUCAGCAAAUUCGCCUUUGAUUGGGUUUCUGCUGCUUUCAAUCAAAAUCAGCCCAAUACAAGUCGAAGAGUGAGAAUGAGGAGUGAGCCCCGCCCCUGCUGCUGUGUGUGGCACAUUUGCAGGCUCUGGGAGACGCUGGUUAGAGUCAGGGACAGUCGACGCUGUGGACCCCGUAGCGUGGCCUCAGCAAGCUGGAGCUGGGCCCAGGCUUCCCAGAAUGAACCAGUAAUACAGCAGUCAGUGUGCCUCCCCGCCCUCCUUGAUUCCUGAAAUAACUGGUUAAAUAUAAAUUGGCCCCACCCCACUGAAGUACUCAAGAAGGAGAAAAAACAACUUAGUGAUAGCAGUGUAGUCUCCGUCGAGUGUUUCUGGGCGGCACAUUCACUAGAAGUCACGCCAGUUGCAAGUCAGAAACCCGGUGCUGCAUGGGGUAUGCUGCGUGUUGCCAACAAGUGACUUAUUUUAUCAUCUACAUUGCAAACCUAGAAGAUGCCUCUUCAAAAGGUGUUGUUCAGAGAACCCCUGAUCCCGCGGGGCUGGAACAUGGACGUGACAGGGAUGGCAUCCUUGGCAUGGCAGAGAGAGCAGGGGGAGCCUGGGUCCCUAACACCACGGAGUGCCCAUUGCUUCGUGCAGAGGACACCGGACUUGUUGCAGAGUGAAAACAUACUUCUAGCUUGUUUCAGCUGCUGCGGUUGGGGGACUUUGUAACCUCAGUGGGACUUGUAUCUGAUUAAUAUACAACCUGAAGUGAGAACAAGAACCAAAGAGAAGUAGGAAAUGGUUAGGAUUUUUUUAGCCCCGGAAGGUGAAUUUAUUUCUGAAAACAAUCUUUUGUUUUUCUUUAAAUAAAAAGCG